rnacentral:rRNA from 1 species
GACAGAGGAUGCAAGCGUUAUCCGGAAUGAUUGGGCGUAAAGCGUCUGUAGGUGGCUUUUCAAGUCCGCCGUCAAAUCCCAGGGCUCAACCCUGGACAGGCGGUGGAAACUGCCAAGCUGGAGUACGGUAGGGGCAGAGGGAAUUUCCGGUGGAGCGGUGAAAUGCGUAGAGAUCGGAAGGAACACCAGUGGCGAAAGCGGCUUCCUGGUCCAGCAUCGACGUUCAGGCACGAAAGCGUGGGGAGCAAACAGG